rnacentral:rRNA from 1 species
ACGCUCGACACCUACGGGGGCAGCAGUGGGGAAUAUUGCACAAUGGGGGAAACCCUGAUGCAGCGACGCCGCGUGAAGGAAGAAGUAUCUCGGUAUGUAAACUUCUAUCAGCAGGGAAGAAAAUGACGGUACCUGACUAAGAAGCCCCGGCUAACUACGUGCCAGCAGCCGCGGUAAUCUGAGGCGGGCGUGGCGAAGGC